AUCAGAUGUUCAUCAGCUGAAGAUCUUGUAGAAACUGUAAAGUGGAAGACACCUUUGUUGUCCUGCUAAUCCUCAGAGGUUGAAGCUGCAGCAGUUUGAGUCUAAAGAGUCUCUGGAUCAAGAUGAUGACCUCUGACCUCAGAACAUUUUCCUUUUCUAUUUCAAAUGUUUUCCAGAUGUCGAUCAGAAUGUUGAAGAUUUUCAGUUUUAUUUUUCAUCUGAUCUGUUUGAUGAUCUGCAGGAACAAAAGAGAGAAAAAUACUCUAAGUACGUUAGAAAAGUUAAAUUGAGUAGAAACUUGAAGCAUUAAUUUCAUUAAAAACUUGUUAAUGGGACAAA